rnacentral:rRNA from 1 species
GAUGAACGCUAGCUACAGGCUUAACACAUGCAAGUCGAGGGGAAACGACAUCGGAAGCUUGCUUUUGAUGGGCGUCGACCGGCGCACGGGUGAGUAACGCGUAUCCAACCUGCCCACCACUUGGGGAUAACCUUGCGAAAGUAAGACUAAUACCCAAUGACGUCUCUAGAAGACAUCUGAAAGAGAUUAAAGAUUUAUCGGUGAUGGAUGGGGAUGCGUCUGAUUAGCUUGUUGGCGGGGUAACGGCCCACCUAGCCGACGAUGGGUAGGGGUUCUGAGAGGAAGGUCCCCCCACAUUGGAACUGAGACACGGUCCAAAACUCCUACGGGAGCAGCAGUGAGGAAUAUUGGUCAAUGGGCGAGAGCCUGAACCAGCCAAGUAGCGUGCAGGACGACGGCCCUAUGGGUUGUAAACUGCUUUUANAAGGGAAUAAAGUGGGUCACGUGUGACUUUUUGCA